rnacentral:lncRNA from 1 species
CUGGGAACUAUGGAUAAUAGUUCUCACCCCCGUGUUGUUUUUGGGGGUACAGGUUCACACGUGAGCGGCGCGGCGGUGCGAGGAAAGGGUGUAGCUCCGUAGAUAGCGCCCUACCACCGAGACCAGAAAUAGCAUUACCCCGAGUCGGCUUAGCUAGGGGUUGUAGAAAAGAUGUAAAACAAUAUUGUAAUAAUCUUGAUUGUAUUUGGAAGAAAAGAAAAGGAAAAGUGUAAUAUGUGAUGUAGAAUGUAUUAAGUAAAUUGAAUGCAUGUAAUAACUUAGUUGUUUAUGUUUUUGAUACUUCCUUAUGCAAUCUGUAUGUUGAAUAUCGUUCCUGGUUGGAAACUCUUGUAAUGUAUUGAUUGCGACGCCUUGGACGUACAGGGUAGACUCUGUCCGCGGUACAGGAGAAAUCCUGUCCGUUCGGCGGUCUGUUGGCGUGCCCGAAUCCGACCAAAAAGGCGGGCUCGGGCCGUGACAGAUAAGAUGGUAUCAAAGCAUAAACGAAAUAUAAAAAGAAUAAUAGAAAAUGGUUUAGUUGGAUCUAGGAGACCCUAGGAUAGUAAACCAUAGGAGAUUAAGACUCGUGAGAGCCGAGGACUUGUGACUUGUGGCGAAAGGAUAAUGGAUUGGGUUAUGUCGUAAACCUCUAAAACGGAUAUUAGAGGUAGAUUCAAGGUGUGGUUUAUUCUCAGCCAAGGGUGUUCAUGUUGGGCAUGCACAACAUGAAGCCGAGUGAUGAGAAUAUACGCCUUUGUGUGACUUUCGCCCGAUUUGAGUCAGUGUUAGUUGUCUCGUGUUCGGCCAGAGGGUCGAGGGUCGAAUAGAGUUGUCGCGUUUUAGGAAGCGAUAGCACCGCGUAGGCGAUCUUCAUUUCGAUCGGCGCGGGAUGGGACAAGUGUUGUCCCUGAGCAAUUCAACGUGAGCGGAUUAAGGGACUCCAAGAAAUGGUUGGUCGAUUGGUGAUCGUACCAGUUUCGGCUCGUCGAGUACGGCCGGGAGUCGCAGCGGAAACGUUUUCGUCGAGGUUUAGCAGUUCGUUGGUGGAGGCAGUGAGGAGGGCGAGCUUUGGCGGCCCUCAUGACCUUCAAGCAAUUUGAUCCGCCCACCUAUGGUAGAGAGGAUGCGGAUCCAAGAAUCGUGGAGUUAUGGAUCGACUCCAUGGAGGCUCUCUUUGAGGGUCUAUGUGCUAUGGAGCGGGAUAAGGUACGGCUAGCCGUGCAUUGUCUGAAACAAUCGACGAUGGUGUAGUGGUAGGCGUCAAGCGGAUUUGAUCGCCUAGUUUCCCUCAUGUCGUUUGGGAUGAGCUUCGGGGUGUGUCAUGUUCUACGUACCUCCCCGAUAGUGAAAGGAGAAAGCUUCAGGAGAGGUUCUGGAAGCUGCGGUAAGGAGACCGCACCGUGAGGGAUUAUGAGCGCGAAUUCUCCCGUAUCGUGAGUUGCAUCCCGAAUGUGAAGCGGGAUGAUGAGGAUGUGGCCGAUUUGAUUGUGCGGAGACUUCGGCCGGACAUUUUCAAGGUUGUGCACAUAAGGAAGUGAAUUCUCGAAGUACAAGGAUUGGACUUCGUGUGGAAUCGACUGAGGGUCGUGUUGGUAUGCUUCGGAAGGACCGAAGGCGUCAAAAGUAGUAAAGGUGCGUCAUUGGGGAUCUUCGAGAGCUAGGGAUUUGAAAAUCUGCAAACUGCAGGUUUUCUGCCCUCGGGAACCGGUCCCUGUGGGGAGAGACCGAUCCCAAGAGACUGGUUCCAUCGGGGGGAGAUCGCUUGCCUCAUGCGUAGCCUGCGCGGCCCCCGGGAGAAGCUCUCGAAGACCGGUCCCUCGUCGGGGAGACCGGUCCCCAAGCCCGAAAAUGGCCUAGUCAGGGCAGUGUAAAAGAAUAAAAGUUGAGGGGCUUAUUUGCACUUAUGCAACAUGUGGGGCUAUGUGGGGGGUAUGAGAGCUCUUUUCUCUCAUUUCUCACCCACACACCCUCUCAUAUCUCUCUUUCUCUCUCUAGAAGACAAGAAGAGGAAGAAAAAAGGAAAGGAAAGAAAGAAAAUGAGAAGGAGUCUUCCUUAUCUUCUUCAUCUUCUCCUUGGUUGGAGCUUCACGGAGAGGUAAGCUUGUAAGCUCUCUCUCAUGGUGGAUUUCUAGAGAUAGGUUUGAUUGCUCUAGAAAUGGAGUUUUGUAUUAUCUGAGGGCGUAGUACCUGCCAGUACAGGUAUAGAGCCGGAUGGCACUAGCGAAGUGCUAGAAGUAAUCUAUGGCGAGAAGUGAGACUCGCGGUAGAGAUAGAAGUGGCGACACGACUCUCAGAGCAAUAUGAGCAGUGAAUUGCGAGAGUUGAGCCAUGAUGCUUAUGAGAACACCCGAGUGGUCCGAAAAUUUCGGAUGUCAUUCCGGUAGAUCGAACAGUGAAAGUAGCAUCACUGUUGAGAGAACGGUCGAUUAGUGGCCAAGUUUGAGCACGUGAGCCUAGUAGUACCUCAAGGUAAGGUAGGCGGUUGCGCUCGUGCGGUCGGUGUGCAUAGGCAAAAUUGCCUAAUGCUGGACUUCGUGUGGAACGCUGUAGAGGCAUAGAGCGCUGGAGUGUAGAUAACCGUAGAGUGCGAAUGUGGAUUCAGCUGAGAGAGUGCAUUGGCAGUAGCACUUGAGCAUUGCUAGGUGUGAAGCGUGCCAUGGAUCACUCGUGGGACUGGUGACUCGCACUAGGUGCAUAGGAGCCGAUAUUGGAACGUGUGACUCGAUAGAGUAUGGUGUGUAGGACGACGACGGCGGGUAGUGCUUGGGGAUGACCCGUGCCUAGACCAUUUGUGGACUGUGGAGCCUGAGCCCAUUGAGCAGGCGCAGUUAGUUGUGAGUGACAGCGGCCCAGUACCUACCGGUAGGGCAGAGUUCUGGUCAGAACGGUAGUCCGAGCUUAGACCCGGGAGCGUGGAAUGCCACGUGAUAGAUUGUGUGACCGAUGGUACACCGACUAUGGUUGUGACCCAACUCGAGGACUUGACGUGGUUUGGGGUCUUAGUUGCUCCUGGUUGGAGUGUGUGCGAAUUCCCAAGUGAGAAUUUCGCCCGAUGAUUAUUGGGUCUGUAUUUGCGAGCAAGAGACGCUGCGUAUUGAGACAGAUUUAGGUGAUUGGCCUACGUAGGAUUUGUGGCCUUUGGUCCACCUAUGGAGACCGAAGAAAGCGAUUUGGCAGAUAGCCUUAUCGAGGAGUUUGACUCGAAUUCACGAACGAAGCGCUCGCGUAAGCUCGUUACAAAAAUAGUUUGAUGCUGAUUGUGGCAUGUGGUAUCAGAUGAUGAAGUAUUCCUUAUGAGACAUCGAACUAGUGGAAAGCCACGUGAUGUUGGAGACUAUGCUCGUAAGCGAACUAAGACUUGAGAUGUACCGAAGUGGGCCAUCUCGCGUUAAAGUUAAGGGUCAGUGCGAAAUUAGAGCACUCACGACGGAGCGAUGCAUCGGUGAUAUUGCUUCUAAGCAACGUCGGUGAUCGAAUCAGAAGGUAUUCCCUGAAGGGAAGGUAAGUGCAAAGAAGAGUUCUUUGUGUACCGAAUGGCGAAUGGUAUUGGAGUGCGUAGAGUCGUCGAGUACCGACUUGCGCUGCCACUAUGACUCGCAAGACCCGUGAUGCACUUUUGUAUCACACCUUGCAAAUGUGUCUAGGAUUAAACCCACAUCAUUCCGUAUGAGCCGCUUCUGGAACCACGAUAGUGUAAAGCCGCUCUGGAGUGGGAGAAUGAGUUGGUAUCCUCAAUUGCUCGCGGAGCUGAAUUGAGGCGUGGUUUGAAUUUCGCGGACGAAAUUCUUUUUAAGGGGUGGAGAAUGAAACAUACCAGAUUUUGGUAUAAAAAUAAAAAUAAAUAAAAGUAGUGUGAGAAACUAUUUUUAUUGAAUUUAGAGAAGUAAAACAUAAGGAAGAAAUGACUUGUGCUGAAAUCGGAAUGAAAAUAAAAGAUUUAGAAUUUUUUGUUGGAAACGGGACAGAUAAAUUAGCAGAAAAUGCACAGUAUCAGAAAAUUAUGAAAACUGGAGGAUAAGCCAGAAUUAUUUUUAUGAGGCUAGAUUUAAAGUUUCAUGUCAUUCUGACACCCGAAAGGUAGAAAAUAAAAUCCGACAGCUAUCUAAUAAAGAUUAUAGUUCGGUACAGCUUUCGGUGACCAAACGGGGUCAAAACUGAAAUAUUAAAAUUUCUUUGGACUCGUUAAGUAAAACUGAACAUGACUGUCAAAUUUGAGCUCAAACAGAUGUUUAGGGAGUUCCGGCAAAAGAUAUCAGAUUUCGAACUGCCCGGAAGUGAAUAAUGUUUUGGGGUGUAAUGUAUUAAGAAGCCUUUUGCUUCUUCUUCCUCAGCCGACCACACCACCCCACAACACACGCACGCAUGGGAAGGAAGAGAGAAACUCUCCUUUCUCUCUCUAAUGAUCUCUCUCAUCUCUCCAAAUCUCUCUCUAAAAAUUUGAAGGUUGGUGGAGAGCGAGAUUGCGAACGCGUUGGAGGUGUCGGUUCGAGCUCUCGUGCGGCCGUUAGAGCGGCGUGCUUUCGUCGCGGCGUUCACAUUGUGGUAAGCUUUUGGAAUUUGGCUUAAUCCUUAGCUUUAAGUGUUCUAAUAGCCUCUAAUGAGUAUUGUUAGCAUGUUGCUCCAUUUAAUUUGGAUUAUUUAGAGGUUAAUUGCAUAUUAGGGCUCCGAAUGGAAUUUUGUAAAAUAGUAGGGUUUGAUCUCAUUUGACACUCUGUAAACCUAACUGCUAGGUAAACGAAUGCGUUGGCGAAGUCGGUUCGGUGAUUCGUCGAGCCUACACGAAGUUAUUCAAGAAACGGACGUUUAGGCUUCAUUUCCGCCUGGAGGGCCGAGGCGACUUCGUAAAAUCAUGAAAAUGGAUUUGGAGCACCGUGACACAUAACCGAAGACCUUUAAUUUCUGGAUCGUGGAUUGGAGGCCGUUCGGAUAGUCGCGCGAGAGUUCGGGCCGAACCGGGUGCCGGGUGCCGCGGGAGGCCGAUUGCAAGUGACUACAAGCAAUGGGAGAGCGUUACGAGGUGGGUUGUGCUCUCCGAAGCGAUUAGGUUGCUUCCAUGUUGAAGUGGAGUAUGGUUUUCUAAUUGAUGCAUACAUACAUUAUGAUGGCUAAUUGCAUUGGUAGUUGAUUGUAAAGUAAAUGAAUGUAUGAGAUUAUGCUAAUCAAGAAUGCAUAAAUGAGAUAUUGAUAAGGAAUACAUAAGCUAUAUGCUAAGAGAAUGAAUGAUCUAGAUGCUAAAAUAUGUAUGUGCAUGAAAUGCUAAAGAACAUAUGAAUGUUGAUAUUAUUAGAAAUAUGCUAGUUGGUAUAUGUGCAUGAUGGCAUAUUGUUAAUUAACAUAUUGUGGAUUAUGUUAAAUGAAAAUAUAUACAUGAUGACAUAUUGCAUAUGAUAGAUGAACUAUGCAUGUUGACAUAUAGAGGAUUAUGUUAAUUGACAUUUGCAUGUUGAACUUGGGUCGGUAAACUCUAGGUGAAUUAGAGAACUCGACGUUGGAAAAUAAUGACGUAUGAACUAUGAUAUGCGAUGUGGACAAGUAGGAUGUCAAACAGAUCGAGUGGCAUAUAAUUAGUGUAGUGGAAACACUUAUGGCAUGUUGAACACUUAGAGAACAAGCGUGGCAUUAGUGAAUGAGUCCAAGAAUAUAGUAGUGUAUAUAACACAAGUGACGGUAAACAAUGCAAAGAAAAGAAUGAUUGAGAUAUUAUAACAUUUCAACCUUAGAGUUAAGGGUCAUUUGAGCAUGGUCUUCCUUAAAGUUAAGGAAUGGAUUGAACUUGGAAUCCUCAAUGCAGGAUUGGUCGUACUCACCUUUAGUCCUUGCUCGAGAGUGGUAGCUCCCCCUUGGGCGAUAUGCUCCGGAGUCAACAUCACUAGGUUGUAGCGGGAAUCUCCCCAGAGGACUGUCCUAUCGGGUUGUAGUGGGUAUCUCCCCGGUUAAUAGGAUUUUGGGUUGGUAAGUUUGUUGAGUGCGAAACCUACGGGUUAGCCAAGAGAUUGGGUAAUGAAAUCUUGCAUUCAUCAUGAAUUGACUCAAGACCGAAUCGAGUGGCAUAGUUGGCUAAGGUCAAUGUAACCUUAGGAAAAAAUAAAAACUGAGUAAAGUGUGGCUAAGAAUAAAGAAUAAAGAAUGACAUGUGAUACAGAAUUGUCAAUAUUAUAAAGAAUGGUAAGUGAUAGAGAGUAGAAUCAAUUAAUCUAUUUGUAUGAGUUGCAUGAUCUACAUAUUGCAUGUCUUGAGGCACAAACAUGUAUUUAAUAUUUGCAUUAAUUAUUUGUGGAUAUCUGUUGGAGUAACAUGUUUGCAGUGCCUCCUUUGGACCUGAUGGGUCGAGCUUUUUUCUUGGGUGGCCGUACCCACUGGGAACUAUGGAUAAUAGUUCUCAACCCCGUGUUGUUUUUAGGGGGACAGGUUCACACGUGAGCGGCGCGGUGGCGCGAGGAAAGGGCGUAGCUCCGUAGAUAGCGCCCUACCACCGAGACCAGAAAUAGCAUUACCCCGAGUCGGCUUAGCUAGGGGUUGUAGAAAAGAUGUAAAACAAUAUUGUAAUAAUCUUAAUUGUAUUUGGAAGAAAAGAAAAAAAAAAAGUGUAAUAUGUGAUGAGAAUGUAUUAAGUGAAUUGAAUGUAUGUAAUAACUUAGUUGUUUAUAUUUUUGAUACUUUCUUAUGCAAUCUGUAUGUUGAAUAUCGUUCCAGGUUGGAACCUCUUGUAAUGUAUUGAUUGCGACGCCUUGGACGUACAGGAGAGACUCUGUCUGCGGUACAAAGGAAAUCCUGUCCGUUCGGCGAUCUGUUGGCGUGUCCGAACCCUACCAAAGAGGCGGGCUCGGGGCGUG